ensembl:lncRNA
UUACAUUAUGAAAUUGCAUAAUGCAUUGUCAAUUGCAUAACGUAAUUACUUAUUGAAUUGCAAAUUGCAAAUUGCAUUGCCAUUUGAAUUUUGCUACAUAUAUGCUUCCAUAAUGGGACAAAGGUAUCUGAAUUUCUCCUUUUUUAAUUCGGAUUAACACUCAACUUCUACGUGCCUUUAAAAGAAAAGAAGGCGGUCUUCGACAAAGUCAUGCUCCUCCGUCGCCUGAAAGAGGAAGAUGGGAUUCUGCUGAAAGAGAUGCAACAGCAUUGGCAGUUUCUUUGCAGAACUUCUCGAAGACUGCAAGAAUUUAAAGGAAUGGGCUACCAGUCAGGACUUUCCCUGGAGGCUUAUGAGGGACUGCGCUGCAUUUUGCAAGGCCAAUUGGAGACGUUGAAGCGACAAAUGAGGGAGGUGAAGUCAGCCUACAUGCACGUAGUUGACUCUAGUGUCCUGCAGCUGGAGGAGGAAGAGUCUGAGGAAGACUUGCAGGAGGAGUCUAAUGGGGACGAUAGCGAUGAAGACGAAGACUUCUAACCAUCCAGCAUGUACUCAAGUCAUCAGUUAUUGUUAUUAGACACGGACACAGGGUGCAAGAGGACAGGGAGACGGUAAAAGAGAACAGGGAGACAGCGUGCAAGGGGUCAGGGUGUAAAGGGACACGGAGAAAGAGGACAGGGUGCAAGAGGACAGGGUACAGGGGGACAGGGUGCCUUGUUAUGUAAAGG